UGGUGCCGCAACGUGAGACUCGAGAAUGGGGGACUUUGUGAGGGAUGCUGUUUGUGGGUCCAAAGUAGAAAAAGAAAAAGAAAAUAGAGGACCUGAUGAUGUGGGAGCCUGCUGCACCGCUGAACCUCGGUAAGUGAACAGCGAUUAUGGCACAAGAAAUUAGCCAGCAUGAGGUUUUUGUUGAAAGUUUAGAAAAGCUUUAAGGACACGAGGGGUAAAGGAAAAAAUUAAGCAGUUGUGUCCAUUAGGGCAAGAAAUGAGCCAGCAUGAGAUUUUUGUUGAAAGUUUAUAAAAGCUU
rfam:Cavia porcellus supercont2_12 genomic scaffold, whole genome shotgun sequence.